AGUGAACGCUGGCGGCGUGCUUAACACAUGCAAGUCGAACGAGAACGGAUUAUAGCUUGCUAUAAUUGUCAGCUAAGUGGCGCACGGGUGAGUAAUGUAUAGGUAAUAUGCCUCUUACUGAGGGAUAACAAUUGGAAACGAUUGCUAAUACCUUAUAUUCCUUUUUAUCAAAAGAUAAAAAGGGAAAGAUUUAUUGGUAUGAGAUUAGCCUGUAUUGUAUCAGUUAGUUGGUGGGGUAAUGGCCUACUAAGACGAUGACGCAUAACUGGUUUGAGAGGAUGAUCAGUCACACUGGAACUGAGACACGGUCCAGACUCCUACGGGAGGCAGCAGUGGGGAAUAUUGCACAAUGGACGAAAGUCUGAUGCAGCAACGCCGCGUGGAGGAUGACACAUUUCGGUGCGUAAACUCCUUUUAUAUAAGAAGAUAAUGACGGUAUUAUAUGAAUAAGCACCGGCUAACUCCGUGCCAGCCGCCGCAGAAAUAC
rnacentral:rRNA from 1 species